CUGGAGUCUGGGCUUCUUGCUCAUGUACCCAUUCCGGCCAUUCUCUAGGUCAAGGAUGGACCGUAGCUUCUCUGCUUCCAACUCAUAGUCCUGUGGGAAGACGUUCCCAGGAGGAAGGCAAGUUGCUGAGGUUGGUGGGACCUGGAGCACUGUUGGCAGGAUCUCCCAGAAGGUUCUGAGUCAGAAUUGCAGUCCUUACCUUCACUGCCUGCUGGUAUUGCUGAGCUGUGGCGGAGAUCUUCUGCACCUCCUGUUCCUUGC